GGGUACCUACGGGACGCAGCAGUGAGGAAUAUUGGUCAAUGGUCGGGAGACUGAACCAGCCAAGCCGCGUGAGGGAGGAAGGUACAGAGUAUCGUAAACCUCUUUUGUCAGGGAACAAAGACUGGGACGCGUCCCCGGAUGAGUGUACCUGAAGAAAAAGCAUCGGCUAACUCCGUGCCAGCAGCCGCGGUAAUACGGAGGAUGCGAGCGUUAUCCGGAUUUAUUGGGUUUAAAGGGUGCGCAGGCGGUCUGUUAAGUCAGCGGUCAAAGCCCGGGGCUCAACCCCGGCCCGCCGUUGAAACUGG
rnacentral:rRNA from 1 species